GACGAGGGGUCCAAGCGUUGUUCGGAAUUAUUGGGCGUAAAGCGGGUGUAGGCGGCUCUAUAAGUCAGAAGUGAAAGCCCUGGGCUCAACCCGGGAAGUGCUUUUGAUACUGCAGAGCUUUGAGUGCGGGAGAGGAUGGUGGAAUUCCCAGUGUAGAGGUGAAAUUCGUAGAUAUUGGGAAGAACACCGGUGGCGAAGGCGGCCAUCUGGACCGUUACUGACGCUGAGGCGCGAAAGCGUGGGGAGCAAACAGGG
rnacentral:rRNA from 1 species